GGGUACAUGGUCUAGUGGUAUGAUUUUCGCUUCGCAUCAUCUCAACUGAGAUGCCGCGACCUUGUGAAAGGUCCCCGGUUCAAUCCCGGGUGUAUCCA